UGACCACCUAUUCCGGACGGUUCCCCGUGCGCCUUCGGGCAAUCGGGGUGAAAAGGGAAUACGGUGCGGUGCCAAAGCAAAGGUGCCAAAUCCGGAACUGCCCCCGCACCUGUAAGUGAAGAGCAACCCGCAUUGCCACUGGGCCACACCGCCUGGGAAGGCGCGGCACGCAUGGACGCACAAAGUCAGGAGACCUGCCGUCAUGGGGAUGAUCCC
rfam:Sulfitobacter sp. CB2047 contig_7, whole genome shotgun sequence.